UUUCUGUGUGGUAGGCUGGGUUUUUGCUUAAAAUGCCCUAGGCAUUGUUUGACCUGCCAUUUUCCAGUGUUUAAUGACAAAACUGAUUGGUUUCAGUAGAGUCCUUGUUUCUGGUUAGUGAUUCUUAGAACUUACAUCAGGGCAGGUAUAGGACCUAAGCUUUAGACCUUGUGUGGGGACAGUGAAUGUGGAGACUGCACUGGCUGUGAGGUUCCCUCCUAUCUGCUAAAAUCACUGAGAGCUGGGUUAAGUGGUGCAACCUUAGAAGAUGACAUGGGAGCAGCAAGCAGUGGUGGCAGAGAGACAGUGGCCAAGAGCAGCAGAAGCACUGCUUAAUACUCCUCCCUGAGAUGAGAGGUAAACCCUGUGAAUGCACCUCUGCACUCUGGGUCUUCACUAACCAAGAACAUCCAACUCUGUUCCAGGAAAAAGCAGACAGCCAUGGGAAUCAGCAAGGACAAGACAGCAGAGGAGUGCAGCUGUUGAUCUCCUUUAAAGCUGUAUCUAAACUGGCCAAACAAGACACAUCAUUCACCUCUUAUGGCUCAUUGAUGCUGCUCCACUGAUGACAACAGCAUUGGAAACUGUUGUGAAGACAGUGCUCAGGAUCUGGACACGCAUCCAUACCACCUCUGUUUGUGGCAGCAAUACACAGACCCUCCCAAGAGCAUCCUGUAUACUGUGUGCAUCCUUCUUUGCUAUACAGAGUUUUGGUUGUGUGAGGAGCAGUAUGGUAAGCCCUUGGAGUCAGCAAAUGUUAUGCAGUAUCUAGAUACAGUAGUCUAAAUAAUUAUUUUUAUAUAUUUGGAAUCUGUCUGAACUUUUCAACUUUUAAAUUUAAAAAACCCUAAGUACUUGGCACUUUAACAAGUACACAGAACUUAC